rnacentral:lncRNA from 1 species
UUGUCCCCUACUUCCUAACUCCCCGAGGAAGUGUUUGAGGCGAGCCCCCUCCCAAUCCAGUCCCCAAAUCCACAUCUCCUUCUCUUUUCUCAUAGAUUCUUUCUCAAUUCCAACGACACCAAGUGGAUCGGCAGCCUAUAGCAGCAAUUUCGUGGGUGGUGGUGAUUUACUUUUUGCAACUUACAAGCUGGCCAGUUGGGAACAACGCCUUGAAAAGCUACUGUAAUAGGUACUAUACCAUAUGAAAUUCUGGAUUUUACAUUGCUAGAAUAACUAGAUUACUUUCAGUUAAAGAAUAAAUCUGGAAUUAUUAUAUUUUGCUGAUGGUUUGUUUGCAAAUUUCAAUUUAGGUAGCAAUGUGCAGAAAUAGAGAAACAAAUAUGCAUUCAUUUUUUAAAAGAAAAACAGAUGAUGCAUGUGUUGAACUUGAAGAUAUUUGGCCUCUUGAACCUCUACCAUUGGCAUUGCUUGAACGAGAGUAUCAUACUCAUAAUGAAGAGCAACAUCAAACUAAAAAUGAAGAAGCAGAACAGCUGAGUUAAAAUUACGAACAACAAACAAAUGAGCCUAUCAUAUUUCGAGGCGUGGAGUUCUUGCACAGUGAUCGUGCAUUGUGACCAUAGAUUUGGCAAUAUCCACCUAAUGUGAGAGAUGAAGUGCAAAGAGCAUACACGCAGCUAGGUCCUAUGCAGCCGAAGUUGAAUAAGUAUAAACCUUCUGGGAAACCUGGAUAUCAACGACGUUUCUAGUUCAGUUGGUUCAAAGAUUUUCCAUCAUGGUUAGAAUAUUCUAUUAGCAGCCAUCGUGCAUAUUGUUUUUACUGCUUCCUAGGUAGCAAUAACAUCAAGAAAUGAAAUAGUUUUGAUGUGUUUAGUGCUCAUGGCUUCAACCAUUGGAAAAAGUUUAAAAAUGGAGAAAGGUGUGCGUUCUUGGCUCAUAUUGGAUGCAGUCCUUGCUCACAGCAGAACAAGAUAGUGAGGGAUUGUCAUGCUAUCUUGGAUCAACCAAACCACAUAGUAAACAUUAUAGAAGUUCAAAGCAACAAAGAGAAAGAGAGAAAAACUUUACGGUUGAGAACAUCAAUUACAGUUCUGGCUCACCUUCUAGUCUUGUGCAUUCGGAGGCCAUGACGAGACACCCGAGUCAAGAAAUCGAGGGAACUUCAUUGAAUUGAUAAAGCUUCUUGCACAAUUCAACCCCGAAAUUUCAGCUGUAGUUCUAGAGAAUUCUCCUCGGUGUAGGAAAUACAUAUACCAUCAAAUUCAAGAAGAGAUAUUGAGUAUUUAUGCACUAAGGGUUAGGCAGUAUAUCCGCUAAGAGAUUGGUGAUUCAAAGUUCUCUAUUCUAGUGGAUGAAACAUGUGAUGUUGCUAAAAGAGAUCAAAUGGCAGUAGUGUUUAGAUUCCCCGAUAAAGAAGGUUUUCUACAAGAACGCUUCUUUAAUGUGAUACAUGUACAGAACACCAAAGCACUAACAUUAAAGGAAAAGUUGUCUGCUUUCUUGUCCAACAAUGGCUUUGAUGUUUAUAAUUUACGUGGCCAAGGAUACAAUGGGGCUAGCAACAUGAAGGGUGAGUUCAAUGAAUUACAAGCACUUUUCCUAAAAGACUGUCUGUAUGCAUAUUAUGUACACUGCUAUGCACAUCGUCUGCAACUUGCCCUUGUUGCUGCAGCAAAGGAUGUUGUUCGUGUUAGCCAACUUUUCCAAAAACUUUUGUACAUCAUAAACCUUGUUGAUUCUUCGUCAAAGCGACAUGAUGAUCAUAUUGAGACAAGCCAAGGGGGGAACCAGAUCAAGGCAUUAAAGCGUCCUGGAGACACUCGAUGGGGGUCGCACUUGGGUUUUGUAUCUAGCCUUAUGGAUAUGUUCAACGCAGUAAGUUCUACUCUACAAAAUAUAUCUUCUCGCGCUUCUACUGGUACACACCGAGCUGAUGCAGAUACUGCUUACAAGUACUUGAUCGACUUUGAGUUUGUGUUUGGACUAUGUAUGAUGAGGGAGAAAUUGGAAAUCAGUGAAGAGCUUGGGAAAGCUUUACAAAAGAAAAGACAAGACAUAGUGAAUGUGUUGGGGAACGUUGCAUGGGAAACAAAAAAUUUCCUAUGCAUACGAAGAUCUAUCAUGGUGAUGUCCAUCUAUGAGAGGAGAUUUGGAUCUACGUACCCUUGUAGAUCGCACGACAGGAAGCGUUAAGAAACGCGGUUGAUGUAGUGGAACGUCUUCACGUUCCUCGAUCAGCCCCACGAACCGUCCCACGAACCGUCCCGCGAUCCGUCCCACGAUCCGUUCCGAUCUAGUGCCGAACGGACGACACCUCCGCGUUCAUUACACGUACAGCUCGACGAUGAUCUCGGUCUUCUUGAUCCAGCAAGCAAGACGGAAAAGUAGAUGAGUUCUCCGACAGCGUGACGACGCUUCGGUGGUGGUGACGAUUGAUACGUCUCCAACGUAUCUAUAAUUUUUUAUGGUUCUAUGCUAUUAUCUUGUCAAAUUUUGGAUGUUUUGUAUGCCUUUUAUAUCUUUUUUGGGACUAACUUAUUAACUUAGUGCCAAGUGACAGUUCCUGUUUUUUCCGUGUUUUUGACUUUUUCAGAGGAGAAUAUCAAACGGAGUCCAAACGGAAUAAAACUCCGAAAAGAUUUUUUCCGGAACAGAAGAUACGCAGGAAGCUUGAGAACCAAGGCAAAGGGCACCAGAGGAGGCCACAAGCCCCUAGCCGUGGCCUGGGGGCGCCUAGCAGGCUUGUGGGCCCC